AGAGUUGAUCCUGGCUAGACGAACGCUGGCGGCAGGUCUUAGGCAUGCAAGUCGAACGGAUGACAGAGAGCUUGCUCUCUGGAGUCAGUGGCGCACGAGUGAGUAACGCGUGGGAAACUGCCCUUCACUGGGGAAUAACGUUUGGAAACGAACGCUAAUACCGCAUACGCCCGCAAGGGGAAAGAUUUAUCGGUGAUGGAUGUGCCCGCGUUGGAUUAGCCAGUUGGUGGGGUAAUGGCCUACCAAAGCAAUGAUCCAUAGCUGGUCUGAGGGGACGAUCAGCCACGCUGGAACUGAGACACGGUCCAGACUCCUACGGGAGGCAGCAGCUAAGAAUAUUGGUCAAUGGGGGAAACCCUGAACCAGCCCAUGCCGCGUGAAUGAAGAAGGCCUUCGGGUUGUAAAGUUCUUUUAGUCGUGAAGAUGAUGACAGUAGCGACAGAAAAGCACCGGCUAACUUCGUGCCAGCCGCUGC
rnacentral:rRNA from 1 species